UAGGGAAUAUUAGAAAUGGACAAAAGUCUGAUCUAGCAACACCGCGUGUGCGAAGAAGGCCUUCGGGUUGUAAAGCACUUUUUGGAAGGAUUAGGAAGGAAUGUACUUCCAGAAUAAGUCUCGGCUAACUACGUGCCAGCAGCCGCGGUAGCACGUAGGAGGCAAACGUUAUCCGGAUUUACUGGGCGUAAAGCGCGUGUAGGUGGUUCUGUAAGUAGGGCGUGAAAGCUCCUGGCUCAACUGGGAGAGGCCGUUCUAAACUGCAGAGCUAGAGGAUGGUAGAGGGAGGUGGAAUUCCGGGUGUAGCGGUGGAAUGCGCAGAUAUCCGGAGGAACACCAGUGGCGAAAGCGGCCUCCUGGACCAUUCCUGACACUCAGACGCGAAAGCUAGGGUAGCAAACGGG
rnacentral:rRNA from 1 species